rnacentral:rRNA from 1 species
GACGAACGCUGGCGGCGUGCUUAACACAUGCAAGUCGAACGGAAAGGCCCUGCUUUUGUGGGGUGCUCGAGUGGCGAACGGGUGAGUAACACGUGAGUAACCUGCCCUUGACUUUGGGAUAACUUCAGGAAACUGGGGCUAAUACCGGAUAGGAGCUCCUACUGCAUGGUGGGGGUUGGAAAGUUUCGGCGGUUGGGGAUGGACUCGCGGCUUAUCAGCUUGUUGGUGGGGUAGUGGCUUACCAAGGCUUUGACGGGUAGCCGGCCUGAGAGGGUGACCGGCCACAUUGGGACUGAGAUACGGCCCAGACUCCUACGGGAGGCAGCAGUGGGGAAUAUUGCACAAUGGGCGGAAGCCUGAUGCAGCAACGCCGCGUGCGGGAUGACGGCCUUCGGGUUGUAAACCGCUUUCGCCUGUGACGAAGCGUGAGUGACGGUAAUGGGUAAAGAAGCACCGGCUAACUACGUGCCAGCAGCCGCGGUGAUACGUAGGGUGCGAGCGUUGUCCGGAUUUAUUGGGCGUAAAGGGCUCGUAGGUGGUUGAUCGCGUCGGAAGUGUAAUCUUGGGGCUUAACCCUGAGCGUGCUUUCGAUACGGGUUGACUUGAGGAAGGUAGGGGAGAAUGGAAUUCCUGGUGGAGCGGUGGAAUGCGCAGAUAUCAGGAGGAACACCAGUGGCGAAGGCGGUUCUCUGGGCCUUUCCUGACGCUGAGGAGCGAAAGCGUGGGGAGCGAACAGGCUUAGAUACCCUGGUAGUCCACGCUGUAAACGGUGGGUACUAGGUGUGGGAUCCAUUCCACGGGUUCCGUGCCGUAGCUAACGCUUUAAGUACCCCGCCUGGGGAGUACGGCCGCAAGGCUAAAACUCAAAGGAAUUGACGGGGCCCCGCACAAGCGGCGGAGCAUGCGGAUUAAUUCGAUGCAACGCGUAGAACCUUACCUGGGUUUGACGUGGAUCGGGAGUGCUCAGAGAUGGGUGUGCCUCUUUUGGGGUCGGUUCACAGGUGGUGCAUGCCUGUCGUCAGCUCGUGUCGUGAGAUGUUGGGUUAAGUCCCGCAACGAGCGCAACCCUUGUUCACUGUUGCCAGCACGUUAUGGUGGGGACUCAGUGGAGACCGCCAGGGUCAACUCGGAAGAAGGUGGGGAUGACGUCAAGUCAUCAUGCCCCUUAUGUCCAGGGCUUCACGCAUGCUACAAUGGCUGGUACAGAGAGUGGCGAGCCUGUGAGGGUGAGCGAAUCUCGGAAAGCCGGUCUCAGUUCGGAUUGGGGUCUGCAACUCGACCUCAUGAAGUCGGAGUCGCUAGUAAUCGCAGAUCAGCAACGCUGCGGUGAAUACGUUCCCGGGGCU